CCCUGGCUCGCACUGGCCCGACAGUGGAAAUGCGGCUAAUGGUCACCAAAUGCAGCGCUGCAGCCUGAAACUGUGAAGACUGAAUUCCCAAACAGCUGUGUGACUGCACAGAUGUUACGGCCAUAAAAGAAACUUCACAACUGAGAGCCCAUACCUCCAACAACCUUCAACAGGAAUCAAUGGACAUCUACGCAAGGUUUUUCUUUUGUUGAGGACCGUCAGAGACUCCAGCCACACGAGCCAUGGAUUGCUCUCAACAUCACCAUCAGACAGACAUUAUCACAGAACCAGCACCAGCAGACU